AUUUUAAAUCAUCCUAUUCAUAUUGUUUUGUUCUUUUCACCACAGGGCUUAUUAUUCACUUCUGCUUUGAAAAGCACAACCUGGGAGGCCAUAAAAAUGAAAAUAAUGUGAUAGCACUUUUCCCUGCUGAUGGUUGGACAUGCUUGCUACUUACAGUUGAAAAGCAUCACCUUCAAGUUCAUCUCAGGAGGCUUCAUGCCAUGAAAGGAAGGCCUGAGAGGACCUCGAGCUGCAGGAAUCUUGAGACCUUUGGUGCUACCGGGUGACACUUCAGCUCAGAGAAGGAUUCAGCACUCCUGCAGCCCAGAAACUCCACUCUGUCAGCACAAAGGAAUUCAGGAUGAGCCUAAAACAACAGCAUGCUACAGGACCAUGGUAAAGUUUUGGGGUUCAGGAGAAAACCUGUCCCAUCAGGGUGGAAGGGGGAGCCUGACCACUUAUCAGGGUAUCCUGAGUAAUCUAACCCAGAUUAAAUUGGACUGCACUGGCACCCCAAGCAGGACUGAAGUGCAGUGAGAAUUGAUUCACUGGGGUGGUGCCAGGGCCAUGGGAGUGGCCCGCCAUGGGAGAAGCUCUUGGUCAGUGGUAUCCAAACUAAGUCAGAGGAAACCAACAAGCCCAAGUGGAACAUGGUUGUGGCCCAUGGUUGUGAACAUGGUUCUGGCUCACAAAAAGUGUGCCAGGUAGUCAAACUCCAGCAAAAAUCACACUCAGGUGUACUGAGUCG
rnacentral:lncRNA from 1 species